UGGCUCAAUCGGAUAGAGCGUUGGACUUCUAAUCCAAAGGUUGCGGGUUCAAGUCCCGC
rnacentral:tRNA from 1 species